rnacentral:rRNA from 1 species
CAGUCGCCACGGUAAAACAGAGGGUGCGAGCGUUAAUCGGAUUUACUGGGCGUAAAGCGUGCGUAGGCGGCUUCUUAAGUCGGAUGUGAAAUCCCUGAGCUUAACUUAGGAAUUGCAUUCGAUACUGGGAAGCUAGAGUAUGGGAGAGGAUGGUAGAAUUCCAGGUGUAGCGGUGAAAUGCGUAGAGAUCUGGAGGAAUACCGAUGGCGAAGGCAGCCAUCUGGCCUAAUACUGACGCUGAGGUACGAAAGCAUGGGGAGCAAACAGGAUUAGAGACCCCUGUAGUCCCUGUCUCUUAUAC